rnacentral:rRNA from 1 species
CGGACGGGUGAGUAACACGUGAGCAACCUGCCUUUCAGAGGGGGACAACAGUUGGAAACGACUGCUAAUACCGCAUAAAAUAACGGAACCGCAUGAUUCUGUUAUCAAAGGAGAAAUCCGCUGAAAGAUGGGCUCGCGUCUGAUUAGAUAGUUGGUGAGGUAACGGCCCACCAAGUCACGAUCAGUAGCCGGACUGAGAGGUUGAACGGCCACAUUGGGACUGAGACACGGCCCAGACUCCUACGGGAGGCAGCAG